AGAGUUUGAUCCUGGCUCAGGACGAACGCUGGCGGCGUGCUUAACACAUGCAAGUCGAACGAAAAGGCCUCUUCGGAGGUACUCGAGUGGCGAACGGGUGAGUAACACGUGGGCAAUCUGCCCUGCACUUCGGGAUAAGCCUGGGAAACUGGGUCUAAUACCGGAUAGGACCUCAAGACGCAUGUCUUCUGGUGGAAAGCUUUUGCGGUGUGGGAUGGGCCCGCGGCCUAUCAGCUUGUUGGUGGGGUGACGGCCUACCAAGGCGACGACGGGUAGCCGGCCUGAGAGGGUGUCCGGCCACACUGGGACUGAGAUACGGCCCAGACUCCUACGGGAGGCAGCAGAAGGG
rnacentral:rRNA from 1 species